rnacentral:lncRNA from 1 species
AACCCGUAGUAAGCCUUACCAACCCGCAAAUCCAUAUAUACAAUUAACCAAAUAUAAAGUAGUCAUAAUUGUCUUACAUAAUAAAUCACCAUACUACCAACAGGAGUCAGAAUAGUUAUAUAAAUUUUAGAAUUUCCUACUGCGGAUACUCUAGAGUAAAAAUGACAAGUAUAGAAGUACAAGAUAAUUACAAAGUCCGAAGAAGAAGAAGUCGGACUGUCGAAUGUGCGAUGGCGAAGGUCUUUAACUAUCACCUGAAAAAAAUUACAACUGAGACUGUCAGUCUCGAGAGUGAGUCAAAAUCAAAUAAUCUAAGGACUAUUGCAACCUUCACAUGAUAUAUUAAUUAUUCAGAACAAUAUACCAAUUUCUGAAUAUAAUUGCAAUCAUAAUAUAUAAUCAUACACCAUAAUAAUAAAAUGAUAAAAGAAGAGAGUGUAAAUAAAUAAAGACAUUUUUACUUUCACGGGACGUGUGGCUAAGUAGAACCUUAACCCCAAAUUCUAACAGCCAUUUUGGCUCUCUUAAUCCAAAUAAGACUGGCGCCCCGAGAGCAAUGGUCGACCAGGGACCUUACCUCCAGUCUGGUCACUUAAGUAUCCAAAUAAGAAAUCUAGUAGCCAUUCGGCUCUCUUAAUCCAAUAAGACUGGCGCCCCGAGAGCAAUGCUCGACCAGGGACCUUACCUCCAGUUUGGUCACUUAAGUAUUCAAAUAAGCCGGCGCCCCGAGAGCAAUGCUCGACCAGGGACCUUACCUCCGGCAAUUUACACAAAUCAGCCCAGAGAGCCAUGCUCGACCAGGGCAAACCCAUAAAUAUCUUAUUACAUGUCCAUGAUCAUUACCGGUGCGCACGCGGUCCUGAUGUAACCCAUCAGGCGGCAUGUUCUACAAGCCACAUUUCCCAAAUCGCAAUCACCACAUUUAAUAAAUAUUUAUAUUACCUUCAAUAAUCCAGUGAAAUUAUUUAUGUUGCGAUACUAAUAACCAUAUUAUGCAUAAACUUUCAAAAUAACAUAUUAAAUUCAGACUUAGCAAUAGUGCAACGAUUAAGUGACUUUAAUUCACAGAUUUGAUGCGUUCCACAGUCCGCUCCUACGCCUCGGGUGGAGCUGGCGAGAAGGCUGAAUUAUCUAAUAACAAAAGACAUACAAUUAAUAGACAUUCAAAAAUUUUUCCUAAACUUAGACCCUAAGGUCGACUGCCUAGAAUUUAAUUGGACUCGAGGAAUCUGCCGAAAGUUUGACAGAACCUCCCCUAAAUUUCGGAUAUUUACCCCCCGUAAAACGGGUCCAGGACCUGCCAAAAAUAUAUCAAACAUGCUGGAAUUUAAUAACAGGAGCCGGGCCACAAGAACUGCAUUAAUAUUUUCCCGACUACAAAACACCACAAUCCAAACGAUUUAAUUUGAUUUAUUUUUAAACUACCCAACACAAGGAAUUAAUAGCCAUAAUAACUUUCUAAUAUUAUAACAAAAUUUUCAGAGUCUAAAAUAAAAUUAUACCGAGUUAAAAAUUGAAAUAUUUCACGCGUCCGGAAAACACUGGGGUCCGGAAGCCGGUCCUGCCAACAGUGUCGGAAUUCGAAUCCGGAAGCGCCUACGCGAAGCUCAAGUUGCGAGGAGUCCAGAAGUACAAGAGUUUUGGCCGGAAAGUGGCCGGAAGGCGGCGGAU